GAUGAACGCUGGCGGCGUGCCUAAUACAUGCAAGUCGAGCGAACGGACGAGAAGCUUGCUUCUCUGAUGUUAGCGGCGGACGGGUGAGUAACACGUGGAUAACCUACCUAUAAGACUGGGAUAACUUCGGGAAACCGGAGCCAAUACCGGAUAAUAUUUUGAACCGCAUGGUUCAAAAGUGAAAGACGGUCUUGCUGUCACUUAUAGAUGGAUCCGCGCUGCAUUAGCUAGUUGGUAAGGUAACGGCUUACCAAGGCAACGAUGCAUAGCCGACCUGAGAGGGUGAUCGGCCACACUGGAACUGAGACACGGUCCAGACUCCUACGGGAGGCAGCAGUAGGGAAUCUUCCGCAAAGGGCGAAAGCCUGACGGAGCAACGCCGCGUGAGUGAUGAAGGUCUUCGGAUCGUAAAACUCUGUUAUUAGGGAAGAACAUAUGUGUAAGUAACUGUGCACAUCUUGACGGUACCUGAUCAGAAAGCCACGGCUAACUACGUG
rnacentral:rRNA from 1 species